rnacentral:rRNA from 1 species
GCCAAAGCCAUAUCUCCCUACAGUUCUCGCCUGGUUUCCUACUGUAGAUAAGCAGGGUUGAGCCUGGCCUGGAUGGGAGACCUCCUGGGGAAAACUAAGGUUGCUGCUGGAA